AUUGCCCAGCUCACUACAGGUGCCCCGAUCCUGACCAGGGGUUAAACGGGAAGUCGGUCAAAAGCCGACGCUGCCCCCGCAACGGUAGGCAAGAUAGAGACUGGUUACUAAGCCACUGCGGAUUUUCGCGGGAAGGCGAUCAGUACUGGCGGAUAUUGUGAUUUCCGCCACUUGCGAGCCCGGAGACCGGCCUAGAGUGCCAUGCGAUG
rnacentral:ncRNA from 2 species